rnacentral:rRNA from 1 species
UACAGAGGGUGCGAGCGUUGUCCGGAAUCACUGGGCGUAAAGGGCGCGUAGGCGGCUUGAUAAGGUUGCGGUGAAAGCCCGGGGCUCAACCCCGGGUCGGCCGUGGCAACUGUCGAGCUGGAGCACUGUAGAGGCAGGUGGAAUUCCGGGUGUAGCGGUGGAAUGCGUAGAGAUCCGGAAGAACACCGGUGGCGAAGGCGGCCUGCUGGGCAAUUGCUGACACUGAGGCGCGACAGCGUGGGGAGCAAACAGG